AGAGAAUCGCUUGAACCCAGGAGGUGGAGAUUGCAGUGAGCUGAGAUAGCACCACUGCACUCCAGCCUGGGUGACAGAG
rnacentral:snRNA from 1 species